rnacentral:lncRNA from 1 species
AAACAGAUAUGUGAUUCAAUCACAUGUUAAAUUUCAGCAUAUGUAUAGCAUAUGAAGUAAAUUUUUGUGGUUUAUAUUUUUUUACAUACAUGAUAUAGAUUAAAAGUAUUUUAAUCUACUAUUCUACUGUGGUGUUUAAAAAAUAAACUUUUGAAACACAUAUACAUGCCCCUAUAUACGAAUUCCAACACAACACACCAGCU